rnacentral:pre_miRNA from 1 species
UACGUACUCCCUCCGUUCCAAAAUACUUGACUUCCAUUUGUUCAAAAAUAGAUGUACCUAUAUACUAAAACAUGUCUAGAUACAUCUAUAUUUUGACAAAGGGAAGGCAUGUAUUGUGGAAUGGAGGGAGUAACUU